CUGUGACAGAAGUGAACUGUAACCUGAGCUGCAGUAGACGUGAUCUCUGCUCAUCUCCUGUCUUCACUCCUCAUUAGAGAAUUUCCUUCAGUGAGGAUCUUCACCGACUGCUGCCUCAAACAGUCGAAUCCUGCAAACAUCGUGGCUGCUCAAGCCAACAAACCACUCUGUAGCUAAGUGAAAAUCAGGGAAAAGAAAUACAAUGAAAG